rnacentral:rRNA from 1 species
UACGUAGGGUCCGAGCGUUGUCCGGAAUUAUUGGGCGUAAAGAGCUCGUAGGCGGUUUGUCGCGUCUGCUGUGAAAUCCCGAGGCUCAACCUCGGGCCUGCAGUGGGUACGGGCAGACUGGAGUGCGGUAGGGGAGACUGGAAUUCCUGGUGUAGCGGUGGAAUGCGCAGAUAUCAGGAAGAACACCAAUGGCGAAAGCAGCUUCUGGGACGGUACUGACGCUGAGACGCGAAAGCGUGGGGAGCGAACAGG